AUGCUGCAUGCAGGUGUGGCCCUAAAAAGUGGGGGAAAAAAACACAAAAAACAAAAUAACAAAAUGCAGUCCAGGAGAGAAAGGAGGCACAAUGAAGAAAGAUAAGAGUCACAACUUCAACUCUAGGAACAAGGCUCUCCCCUUUUUUAUUUACCACAUGUUACCAUGAAACAAAAAUAUUGAGAUGAUAAUGUCAAUCAGAAUUACAUCCAAGUUCAGAAAAAUCUAGGAACUAUCCCUAUUUAUAUUUCUCAUCUCACUACAGUCAAGAUUUAAUACACUACCUAAAAUCCAAAGACAACUAGAGCAAAAUUCCAGUCAGUGAAGCAAAGAGACGGGUGAUGAAAGAGCUCUCUGAGACAGCACAUAGAGGAGCGGUUUUCGCCGCAGCGGGAGCUCCUAGUUAAGUAUCAGUAGGGUUUUUCUUCUCCAAAACUUGUUCAUAUGCAAUAUUUGAAGAGUCAUUAAGACCCAGCAGAAAAUUCAGUGGUCCUGAGUUUAGGUCUUUUGCUGACUAGUUUCCCCUUGAUGAUGUCACCUAACCAACUCCUGCACAUCUACUUUCAAAAAAAUGCCUAUACAGCUCACUUCCCACAGUUGAUGAGGUGAUCGUAUAUAUGAGAGUACUUUCAAAACUGUGAAGUGCUAAACAAAUGUAAGACCUAUAAAUCUGUGUGCUGCCCUAGGCUGGAUUUCAGAGUUCCUGCCUUAUAAAUGGAUGACAAUGAACACAGUUGCCUCCAAGUAGGAGAAACAGGUUAAGUGCUCUUGAUCCAGGUCUAAGGUUCCUUUUCUUUGUACUGUUGACCCUUGAACAAUGUCGGUUUGAACUACAUGGAUCCACUUGCACACAUUUUUUUUUUCAAUAGUAAAUACUGUAGUACUGCACGAUCUGUGUGCAGUUGAUUAGUUGAUCAAAUCCGCCGACACGGAAUGGCCAAUGUAGAAGAAGUGUGCAUGUGGAGAGCAGACUCUAAGUUAUGUGUGGAUUUUCAGUUCUCCAGAAGGUUGGUGCCCUUAACCCCUGCUCUGUUGAAGGAUCAACUGUAUUUCAUGAAUUUUGUAUCAAGAGACUGUUAGUGAAUGUUAAAAUUCCUCCAUCUUUUAUCAGGGUGCUUUGAGUUCUCAGUAAAAGAAACCCUGACUCACACAGAUUGAACAAGAGACUAUUUUGUCUGACAAACACCAUGUCCAGAAGUCAACCAGUUGACAGAACCUCCAACGUAAAAUCGACCAGUGGUUUUAUUCUUUCAAACCUGAUGUCGAUGGGAAUGAUUCCAAAGUUUCUGAUGAAGUACAAUAUCUGCUAAAAUGGUUGAUAACAGAUGUACCUUGUCAGGCAUCAAAAUUACCUUGGACCCAAGGAAGAAGAAAAUCAUUUGACCAUGCAAAGACUCGUACAUGAAUGCUCAUGGCAGAUUUUAUUUGUUACAGCCCCAAAGCGAAGACAAUCCAACAUCCAUUAGCAUGUGAGUGGCAAAACAAAUUGUGGUCUCUCUGUACGAUGGAAUACUAUUCAGCAAUAAAAAGGAUUGAACUAUUGAUAGACACAACAACAUGAAACUUAAAUAUGCUGAAAGAACCCAAAAAGAGUGCAUAGUGUAUGAUUUUAUUUAUAGAAAAUUCUAGAAAAUGCAAACUAAUCUGUAGUAACAGAAAACAGACCAUUGGUUGCCUGGAGAUAGAGGGAGGGUAUAGAAAGGGAGGGAAGUGAAGUUACAAAGAUGUACAAGGAACCUUUUGCAGGCAAUGAAUAUGUUCCUUAUCUUGACUGCAGAGAUGGUUUCAUUAAAUAUGUGUGGUUUAUUGUAUGUCAGUUACACGUCAAUAAAGCUGUAAAAGAUGAAAAAACGAUCUUGGCUAAAAGUAAUUAAUGACAUGAAAUUUUUCAUAUUUUUAGGUUCAAAAAAGGGUAGUUUCCACCACCCCACAUCCAGCCAAGUAAGGAUUUAUUUGCAGUGUGCCAAGCAAGGAGUUCAUGCUAAAAGACUCGAACUUUCCAAAAACGUUCAGGCAGGGGUUUUCAAAAAAGUCUAGUUCUUAUUUUCUUUUUGCCCACACCCAAGGCAGGUCGAAGUUCCAGGUCCAGGGGAUCAAACUUGUACCACAGAAGCAUCCCAGGCCACUACCGUGACAAUGCUGGAUCCUUAACUCCCUGUGCCACCAGGGAACUCCUAGAAAAGGCUAGUUUUAAAUUAAUAUGUACAAUGCGGAGUUCCCGUCAUGGCGCAGUGGUUAACAAAUCCAACUAGGAACCAUGAGGUUGCAGGUUCGAUCCCUGGCCUUGCUCAGUGGGUUAAC